AUACGAAGGGGGCUAGCGUUGUUCGGAAUUACUGGGCGUAAAGGGCGCGUAGGCGGCCGUUUAAGUUAGGUGUGAAAGUCCUGGGCUCAACCUGGGGACUGCACUUAAUACUGGAUGGCUUGAAUUCGGGAGAGGAUAGCGGAAUUCCCAGUGUAGAGGUGAAAUUCGUAGAUAUUGGGAAGAACACCGGUGGCGAAGGCGGCUAUCUGGACCGACAUUGACGCUGAGGCGCGAAAGCGUGGGGAGC
rnacentral:rRNA from 1 species